rnacentral:tRNA from 1 species
AGGAUAGUAGUUAAUAAUAACAUUUGAAUUGCACUCAAAAAGUAUUGAGUUAAUCAAUCUAUCUUG